rnacentral:rRNA from 1 species
CCUACGGGCGGCUGCAGUGAGGAAUAUUGGUCAAUGGUCGGGAGACUGAACCAGCCAAGCCGCGUGAGGGAUGAAGGUACAGAGUAUCGUAAACCUCUUUUGUCAGGGAACAAAGGCGGGGACGCGUCCCCGGAUGAGUGUACCUGAAGAAAAAGCAUCCGCUAACUCCGGGCCAGCAGCCGCGGUAAUACGGAGGAUGCGAGAGUUAUCCGGAUUUAUGGGGUUAAAGGGGUACGCAGGCGGUCUGUUAAGUGAGCGGUCAAAGCCCGGGGCCAAACCCCGGCCCGCCGUUGAAACUGGCAGUCUCAAGUUGGAGAGAAGUAUGCGGAAUGCGCGGUGUAGCGGUGAAAUGCAUAGAUAUCGCGCAGAACUCCGAUUGCGAAGGCAGCAUGUCGGCUCCACACUGACGCUGAGGCACGAAAGCGUGGGUAUCGAACAGGAUUAGAUACCCUUGUAGUC